GGGGAGAAUGCGCGCGCAGCUGGCGGAGCCCCGGAAGAGGGUAGCCGGGGCCUGGCUCCCUAGCCACGCCCCUUCCUCAGCCCUUCCCUCUGGACUUGUCGCGCCGCCGCCGAGGCCCGCCCCACUGACCGUGGCGCCUGAAGGGGCGGAGGAAAGCGCUUCCGCGCAAGCGCGUUCGCGUGCUCUUGCCUUCUAGAGAAGUUACUGCGCAGGUUCGCGUGGAAACUACGGAGAGACCAGUAGGUCUUGGAGGGCUAGGUUUGUCACUUUUCUGGACUUUUUACAAUUUUUAAUGCCACCGACUACUACUUACUGGACGCAUGUGGUACACCGGCCACAAUGCUAACCAUACAAUUACAGCGUUCACUCAACGUGAUUCCUUUGAUGGGAGCAGAGAAAUUGUUAGCACAUUUUCCACAAUUUGACCACCGCUUCCCACCCUCCAACUUGGUUUGCUAUUCUCCCCUUCCCAGAAAGUUUAGCGCACUUCGCAAGGCCGCGUUAUGACUUUCGUGGAACCGCGACACAUUGGCCUUGUGUUUGUGGAGGUGGGUAGAUAGUCCUAGAUUGGAGCGCAGCAAAGAGAUGUUCAUCAUCAGCAUGUGGUGUAAAUGACACAAGCUGGCGGUCAGCUGGAAGAUACAGCAAAUGUACAAGGGGCUACCCAUUCCUAGGGAGAGAGAAUUGGGAUCACUCCAGUAGGCUUCACGCCCAACGUGGAGCCCAAUGUGGGGCCCAACAUGGGGCCUGAACUCACAACCCUGAGAUCAAGACCCAAGCUAAGAUCAAGAGUCGGACACUCAACCAACUGAGCCAUCCAGAAUUCCUCGAAGUGGACUAGCUGGGUUCAAGGAUGUGUGCAUUUUACCCUCAAUAAAUGUGGCCAACAUGCCCUCCUCCAAAAAGCGGAAUCAAUUUACACUCCCAUUAGCAGCCAGCUUAGCAGAGUUUAUUUUCCCACAUCUUUGCCAACAGUGACACCAGCGAAUGUGGCCUUUCUCUGGGGUCUGCUGGGCCCAGGUGGCCUCAACAGUCUACCAAAUGUCCUUCCAGCAAUGGAGCUGCUUCUCCCCAUGUGGCCCGAGAACCUCCCGGACCCCACUCUGCUCCUGGGGAUUCGCCCUUGCCACCAGAGCACUGCCAGAUAUCGAGCUGUGGAGUUGCAGACUCUACACUCCCCCUGUUUACAGUCUUAAUGGAAUUUAAACCCUCUCCUUUCUCCUUUCUCCCUUUUAAGUUCAGUCCCUGCGGCUGUUUCCAAUUUUCCACUUUCUCUCCAGCUGCUUUUGGGGAGGGGUGCUUUUCCCGUGUUCUCCCCACCAUCUCUGUCCUCUCUCCACAUGCAAAAGCACCACCCUGCCCUCCGCGGCUUCUCUCUCCCCAAGAUCACCUCUCCACGCCAUGUACCUGCUGAGUUCUGUGGUUCAGGUUGUGCACGUUGUUGUAUUAAACCUCAGAUCAGUUUUCUAGGUGUGCAGGAUGGGUUAGUGUUGGUCUGGCUGUAUUUCGUGGACAUGAGACACACAGAAAACUUCCAUGCUGUUCCGCCAUCUUGGCUCCCUCCACAAAGGUGCAGGUAUGAAGGGGACUAUGGGGGUGUCUUUGAAAAUAACCACGCUAGGUUUGAAUCCUGGCUUUGCUGGCAUUUGCCAGUCCUUUGGCAAGAUAUGUAGCAUCCAAAUCCUCAUCUCCUCAUUUGUAAAAUGGGGGUGGUGAUACCCACAUCUCACAGUAUCUUUGAGGAAUCAAUAAGAUGAUGGAUGUGGACUGCCUGGCACAGAGCCUGGCAUUUAUUAGACAGUUAAAAAAAUGUGUGUUCCCUUUCCAUUCUCUUCUCUGAGAACCCACAGGGAUUUCCCAGACUCCUCAUUCAUUCAACAAUGUCUAUUUCAUACUACGCAUGCUGGGCACCGUGCAGGUGCUAGGGAGACCAGUGUGAAUGUGAGAGAGGCAGUUCUUGGUCUCUUGGAGUUUAUAGUGUAAUGAUGUUGGACACAGAACAGAUACUUUUGCAAAAAUGAAUUAUUUACAACUGAAGCAGAGCUAUGAGGAAAAGAAACCCAGAAUGCAUCAGGAGCCUUGAGAAAGCUGAGGAAAGGUCUCUGAGGAAGGGAUCUGAGGCACAGGGGAAGCAGCAUCAGUUAGAGUGAGGAGAGCCCUAAAACGCCCUCAGCAAGGUGGACCCAGGUUACCUGGAGAAACCAAAGGAAGGCCAAUGUGACUGGAGCUUGGGCAGGGCACUCCCAGCUGGAGAAUUUCGAUUCUCACAUUCCAGACAGAAGUUCAUCCCUGUAUUGGUCCGGACAUUCUAUGACCAGGAACUCAAUACAGAGGUAAGCUGGUCCAUCUGGGCGAUGGUUGGUGCCCCUAGGAACUCAGGUGCAACCUGUUGGCUACUGUACCAUUGCAUCCAGGAAGCAGACCACUAGCGCCAACUACUUGCUCUUAACCUGAAGCGAUCAGUCACUCCUUCACCGAGCCUCACUUGUCCUCUCUGGACAAAUGUUGUAGUCACCUGCUCUUCUGUCUUCCUCCAUCGUCUUAUAAGCUCCCCAUCAGAAAAGAAUGUGUCUUUUUCCUCCCUCUGUCCGCAGCUCCUAGCACAGACUUUGCACAUAUGAGGUGCUGCUGAGUGUAUGUUUGUUGAAUGGAUAAUAAGCGAUGCUUUGCAAAGAUUUGGUUGUUUGUUCUUAAGUAACUAUUACCCCCCAAUACUAGCUGUGUUUUAUUGAACAUCUACUGUGUGCCAGGCCCAUUAUUAAUGUUAUCUCAUCAAAUAGCUUUUUAGGGACUGUCACUAUUUUGUCUCCAUUUUCCCCUCAGCUUUAUAUUUUAAGAAAUUCAGAUAAACAGAGAAGUUGGGAGAACUCUACAGUAAACCCCCACUUCGUGUAGGUUCACCAAUUUUCCCAUAGCUGCUUUAUCCCUGUGUGCAUGUACACACACACACACACACACACACACACACACACACACACACUCACUUUUCCCCUGAACCAUUUAAAAGCUACUGAUGUGAAAACUCUUCACUCCUGAAAUCUUCAGCAUGUGUCUCCUACGAACAAAAACACUUCUUUCCACCAUUAUGAUGUCACUGUCACACUCAACAAAUACAAGAUUGAUAAUACCUAAAAAUAGUCCAUGUUUGAAUUUCUCCAGUCGGCCUGAUUACAUCCUUUAUAGCUUUUUAGUUUUCAUCUAGAAGUAUAGAAAGCAUUUAAUUGCGAUGUCUCUUUAGUCUCCAUUAACCUGGAACAAUUCUCCCCACUUCUGGCAGGGGGGCAGGUGGUCUUUCAUGUGUUUGCCAUUUCUGAAGAGUCUAGGACAGUUGUUUUAGAAAAUGUCCUGCAAUUGGGGCGCCUGGGUGGCGCAGUCGGUUAAGCGUCCGACUUUAGCCAGGUCACGAUCUCGCGGUCCGUGAGUUCGAGCCCCGCGUCAGGCUCUGGGCUGAUGGCUCGGAGCCUGGAGCCUGUUUCCGAUUCUGUGUCUCCCUCUCUCUCUGCCCCUCCCCCGUUCAUGCUCUGUCUCUCUCUGUCCCAAAAAUAAAUAAAAAACGUUGAAAAAAAAAAUUAAAAAAAAAAAAAAAAGAA